rnacentral:rRNA from 1 species
CUACGGGUUGCACCAGUGAGGAAUAUUGGUCAAUGGGCGAGAGCCUGAACCAGCCAUCCCGCGUGCAGGAUGACGGCCCUAUGGGUUGUAAACUGCUUUUCCAUACCAAGAAACCUGAUUACGUGUAAUUAGUUGCCGGUAGUAUGGGAAUAAGCAUCGGCUAACUCCGUGCCAGCAGCCGCGGUGAAUACGGAGGAUGCAAGCGUUAUCCGGAUUCAUUGGGUUUAAAGGGUGCGCAGGUGGGCUUGUAAGUCAGUGGUGAAAUGUUGCCGCUUAACGGUAAAAUUGCCAUUGAUACUGCGAGUCUUGAAUAUAGUUGAGGUAGGCGGAAUGUGUUGUGUAGCGGUGAAAUGCAUAGAUAUGACACAGAACACCGAUUGCGAAGGCAGCUUACUAAGCUAUUAUUGACGCUGAGGCACGAAAGCGUGGGGAUCGAACAGGAUUAGAUACCCCAGUAGUC